CUCUGGGCUAGCCUUACCUGGACGCGAAACCCAGGGAGGAACGGAUUAGAAACCCCGUAUUCCGGCGUUAAACGAUGUAACUUAGGUGGUGGGGUACCCAAUCCUUGCGCGUGCCGGCAAACCAAGUAAGUUGACCGCCUUGGGGGUACGGGCCGCAAGGCUAAACCUCAAAGGAAUUUACGGGGGCCCGCACAAGCAGCGGAGCGUGUGGUUUAAUUCGAGGCAACGCGAAGAACCUUACCAGGGUGGACAUGGCGGUGCUAGGGAGGUGAAAGCCCGACCGACUCUUCGGAGAGCCGCCACAGGUGCUGCAUGGCUGUCGUCAGCUCGUGCCGUGAGGUGUUAGGUUAAGUCCUGUAACGAGCGCAACCCACGUCGUCAGUUAUACGUGUCUGGCGAGACUGCCGGUGAUAAGCCGGAGGAAGGUGUGGAUGACGUCAAGUCAGCAUGGCCUUUAUAUCCUGGGCUACACACACGCUACAAUGGCCGGUACAAUGGGUAGCCAAGCCGCGAGGCGGAGCCAAUCCCGCAAAGCCGGUCUCAGUUCGGAUUGCAGGCUGCAACUCGCCUGCAUGAAGUCGGAGUUGCUAGUAACCGCAGGUCAGCCACACUGCGGUGAAUACGUUCCCGG
rnacentral:rRNA from 1 species